AGUGAACGCUGGCGGUAGGCCUAACACAUGCAAGUCGAACGGCAGCACAGUAAGAGCUUGCUCUUACGGGUGGCGAGUGGCGGACGGGUGAGGAAUACAUCGGAAUCUACUUUUUCGUGGGGGAUAACGUAGGGAAACUUACGCUAAUACCGCAUACGACCUACGGGUGAAAGCAGGGGAUCUUCGGACCUUGCGCGAUUGAAUGAGCCGAUGUCGGAUUAGCUAGUUGGCGGGGUAAAGGCCCACCAAGGCGACGAUCCGUAGGUGGUCUGAGAGGAUGAUACGCCACAUUGGAAGUGAGAGACGGUCCAGCCUCCUGGGGGGGGCAGCAGGGGGGAAUAUUGGACAAGGGGCGCAAGCCUGACCCAGCCAUCCCGGGGGGGUGAAGAAGGCCUUGGGGUUGUAAACCCCUUUUGUGGGGAAAGAAAAGCAGCAGGUUAAUCCCCCGCUGUUCUGACGGUACCAAAAAAAUAAGCCCCGGCUAACUUCGUG
rnacentral:rRNA from 1 species